rnacentral:rRNA from 1 species
UGGGGAAUAUUGCACAAUGGGGGAAACCCUGAUGCAGCGACGCCGCGUGAACGAAGAAGGUAUUCGUAUCGUAAAGUUCUGUCCUAUGGGAAGAUAAUGACAGUACCAUAGAAGAAAGCUCCGGCUAAAUACGUGCCAGCAGCCGCGGUAAUACGUAUGGAGCGAGCGUUGUCCGGAAUUAUUGGGCGUAAAGGGUACGCAGGCGGUUUAAUAAGUCGAAUGUUAAAGAUCGGGGCUCAACCCCGUAAAGCAGUGGAAACUGAUAAACUUGAGUAGUGGAGAGGAAAGUGGAAUUCCUAGUGUAGUGGUGAAAUACGUAGAUAUUAGGAGGAAUACCAGUAGCGAAGGCGACUUUCUGGACACAAACUGACGCUGAGGUACGAAAGCGUGGGGAGCAAACAAG